AGGGCUCUGAAUGCUUAUUGCACCACAUGUGUUUUUCUUUGAAACAAACUUGCUUUGGCGGUGGGCCCAGCCUGCCGCCAGAGGUCUAAACUUACAACCAAUUUUUUAUCAACUUGUCACACCAGAUUAUUACUUAAUAGUCAAAACUUUCAACAACGGAUCUCUUGGUUCUCGCAUCGAUGAAGAACGCAGCGAAAUGCGAUACGUAAUAUGAAUUGCAGAUAUUCGUGAAUCAUCGAAUCUUUGAACGCACAUUGCGCCCUCUGGUAUUCCGGAGGGCAUGCCUGUUUGAGCGUCGUUUCUCCCUCAAACCGCUGGGUUUGGUGUUGAGCAAUACGACUUGGGUUUGCUUGAAAGACGGUAGUGGUAAGGCGGGAUCGCUUUGACAAUGGCUUAGGUCUAACCAAAAACAUUGCUUGCGGCGGUAACGUCCACCACGUAUAUCUUCAAACUUUGACCUCAAAUCAGGUAGGACUACCCGCUGAACUUAAGCAUAUCAAUAAGCGGAGGAA
rnacentral:rRNA from 1 species